AAAGAUUUAAGCUAAAUUAGACUAAGGACCUUCAAAGCCCAAAGCAGAAGUUAAAAUCUUCUAAUCUUUG
rnacentral:tRNA from 1 species